UUGACACCCUCAAAGGCCAAAGUCCUCUAGACAUCCACAGAAGAUCAGGCAGAGUAUGAGAAAUAACAGUGCAAGCUUCCUCACAAUCCCUCACUGAUGUGACUCAACCAUGACUUAGAAGGACCAUUUCUAUGUGAGAUAGGGCAGGUUGAUCUCCAUGCCCAUCAAUGCUUGCCCUUU
rnacentral:sRNA from 1 species